GACCUCAUUCUCCAGGACAUGGGGCACUGUUGUCCAUGGCAUCCAGAAAUUAUUAAUGGGGCUAAAUUGAGAUUCAAGUUAGGCAUCCAUCACAGCAAACAUAUUAAAGUGGUAACAAGGAGACCUGUAAUAUUU
ensembl:snoRNA